AACGAACGCUGGCGGCAUGCCUAACACAUGCAAGUCGAACGAGACCUUCGGGUCUAGUGGCGCACGGGUGCGUAACGCGUGGGAACCUGCCCUUAGGUUCGGAAUAACUCCCCGAAAGGGGUGCUAAUACCGGAUAAUGUCUUCGGACCAAAGAUUUAUCGCCUUUGGAUGGGCCCGCGUUGGAUUAGCUAGUUUGUAGGGUAAAAGCCUACCAAGGCGACGAUCCAUAGCUGGUCUGAGAGGAUGAUCAGCCACACUGGGACUGAGACACGGCCCAGACUCCUACGGGAGGCAGCAGUGGGGAAUAUUGGACAAUGGGCGAAAGCCUGAUCCAGCAAUGCCGCGUGAGUGAUGAGGGCCUUAGGGUUGUAAAGCUCUUUUACCCGGGAUGAUAAUGACAGUACCGGGAGAAUAAGCUCCGGCUAACUCCGUG
rnacentral:rRNA from 1 species